rnacentral:rRNA from 1 species
UACGUAGGGUGCAAGCGUUGUCCGGAAUCAUUGGGCGUAAAGAGCUCGUAGGCGGUUUGUCGCGUCUGCUGUGAAAACCUGGGGCUUAACCCCGGGCCUGCAGUGGGUACGGGCAGACUAGAGUGCGGUAGGGGAGACUGGAAUUCCUGGUGUAGCGGUGAAAUGCGUAGAUAUCUGGAGGAACACCGGUGGCGAAGGCGGCAUCCUGGACCAUUACUGACACUGAAAAGCGAAAGCCAGGGGAGCAAACGGG